rnacentral:lncRNA from 1 species
CCUGAAACUAAUACAACAUUGUAAACCAAUGAUAUUUCAAUUAAGUAAAACAAAGAGGACUUCCUGGAGGAAGAAGCUUUCAAGCUGGGCUACCAGUGAAGUGCAAGAGUUUACAUGGAGUGAGCUGAUGUUUCAGGUGACUGAAGCAUUGUGUCAAUGGUACUGAUACACAGAAGAGCAUGAUGUUUUCAAGGUUCCAAGAGAAAGUUUAUCCUUGGGGAAAGUAGAGACACAAAGCGAGUCUAGUGAAAUUGACAAGGUUUGAAACAAGCAGGACUGUGUUAAGAAUCUCUGAUUUAUCAAUAAAUAAAAUCAGAGGGAAGCUAUUAAAGAGAGUUGCACUUUAGAUGGAUGCAAUAGUUGGGUACAGUGUGUAGAAUAGACUGGGGAGUGUAUGUACAAGCUGUGGGGAGACCAGUUUGAGGUCAGCACGUAUACAGUAUAGACAAAUGCCUCUGCUGACGUCCAAUGAAAGAACUGCUCUGAGUUCUGUGGACUACAGAAAAAUCUUUGAUAGCCGUACUUUGAACAAUUAACAAAUAUACUGGCAUUGCUUUUCAGACAGAAGAUGGAGAUCUGAGAGGUUUAGGAGCCCGUCAAGAAGAGGAUGGACAGACCAAAGGAAAUAGCCUGUGGCAACAGACAUCUAAGAUACAGGUGGCCAAAGUAUUGGAGCUUCAGCUUCAGCAUCAGCCCUUCAGAGGAAAGGACAAACAGGAUCCCGGGCGUCUCUACAGGAGAAAGAAGAAAUGAGCCAAACUCUGCCACCCUGGGAUAAACAGGGCCCGGGCGACGCUGAAAAGCCUUCCACCCGCCAGGUUUUUAGGGUGCUUGAUUUACCAUUCAAGUGAGCACAGCUGCAGAGAGGGGACCCGGCUUGGAGCCAAGAAGGGGAGAGAAGGGGAGCGCCUGG